UACGGAGGAUCCAAGCGUUAUCCGGAAUCAUUGGGUUUAAAGGGUCCGUAGGUGGACUGUUAAGUCAGAGGUGAAAUCCUGCAGCUCAACUGUAGAAUUGCCUUUGAUACUGGCGGUCUUGAAUCAUUGUGAAGUGGUUAGAAUAUGUGGUGUAGCGGUGAAAUGCAUAGAUAUUACAUAGAAUACCGAUUGCGAAGGCAGAUCACUAACAAUGCAUUGACACUGAUGGACGAAAGCGUGGGGAGCGAACAGG
rnacentral:rRNA from 1 species